rnacentral:tRNA from 1 species
GGGCGUUUAGCUCAGCUGGGAGAGCACCUGCCUUACAAGCAGGGGGUCGGCGGUUCGAGCCCGUCAACGCCCA